UACGAAGGGGGCGAGCGUUGUUCGGAUUUACUGGGCGUAAAGGGCGCGCAGGCGGCUCAUUUUGUCAGGCGUGAAAGCCCCGGGCUUAACCUGGGAGGUGCGUUUGAUACGGAUGGGCUAGAGUUCGGGAGAGGAGAGUGGAAUUCCCAGUGUAGAGGUGAAAUUCGUAGAUAUUGGGAAGAACACCGGUGGCGAAGGCGGCUCUCUGGACCGAGACUGACGCUGAGGCGCGAAAGCGUGGGGAGCAAACAGG
rnacentral:rRNA from 1 species